AUUGAACGCUGGCGGCAGGCCUCACAUAUGCAAGUCGAGCGAGCGGCGGACGGGUGAGUAAUGUAUGGGGUCUGCCCGAUAGAGGGGCAUAACUACUGGAAACGGUGGCUAAUACCGCAUACUAUCGGAUAACCUAUAUGGGAUUAGCUAGUAGGUGGGGUAAAGGCUCACCUAGGCGACGAUCUCUAGCUCGUCUGAGAGGAUGAUCAGCCACACGGGGACUGAGACACGGCCCGGACUCCUACGGAGGCAGCAGUGGGGAAUAUUGCACAAUGGGCGCAAGCCUGAUGCAGCCAGGCCGCGUGUAUGAUGAAGGCCUUAGGGUUGUAAAGUACUUUCAGCGGGGAGGCGUUACCCGCAGAAGAAGCACCGGCUAACUCCGUGCCAGCAGCCGCGGUAAUAC
rnacentral:rRNA from 1 species